UACGAAGGGAGCUAGCGUUGUUCGGAAUCACUGGGCGUAAAGCGCACGUAGGCGGAUUGUUUAGUCAGGGGUGAAAUCCCGGGGCUCAACCUCGGAACUGCCUCUGAUACUGGCAAUCUCGAGUCCGAUAGAGGUGGGUGGAAUUCCUAGUGUAGAGGUGAAAUUCGUAGAUAUUAGGAAGAACACCGGUGGCGAAGGCGACUUACUGGACACAUAUUGACGCUGAGGUGCGAAAGCGUGGGGAGCAAACAGG
rnacentral:rRNA from 1 species